AAAACAAUAUUGUAUGUCGUGUAAACAAAAGUCAAUGCGUCAUUUUACCACUUUUAAAGCUAUUUGGUUUUCCUUUUAAAAUGGCAUCCGACUAAAGUGGAGACGGUUAAACGUGAAAGCUGCAGUGGGUAGAACUAAAAAAAAAACAUCAGAAUUUGAAGUAGAGUGAGACCUCUUAUUGCAGCUCUCCCUCUCCCGUGUGUCACAGCCAAUAGGAACGCUCGCUCUCUCUCUCUCUCUCUCUAUUUGAACUGACCUGUGAUUGACCAAAGGCUGCUGUUACGGGCUAGAUUUACUAAAGCCUGAAAACAGAGCAAAUAGGAGGUGCAGAAUAAAGUUUUCUCUUAGACCACUGGAAUUACAAUAUGGUGAAAGAUUGUGGAAUUUCUGCCAAACAAUGCCA